AACGUAGGACGCAAGCGUUAUCCGGAGUUACUGGGCGUAAAGCGCGGGCUGGCGGUUCUUUUAGUCUGAUGUGAAAAUCUCCCGGCUCAACCGGGAGCAGCCAUUGGAAACUAGGGAACUGGAGGGCGAGAGAGGUAGGCGGAAUUCCGGGUGGAGUGGUGAAAUGCGUAGAGAUCCGGAGGAACACCAGAGGCGAAGGCGGCCUACUGGCUCGCACCUGACGCUGAGCCGCGAAAGCCAGGGGAGCGAACGGG
rnacentral:rRNA from 1 species